CUAGUUGGUAAGGUAACGGCUUACCAAGGCAACGAUGCAUAGCCGACCUGAGAGGGUGAUCGGCCACACUGGAACUGAGACACGGUCCAGACUCCUACGGGAGGCAGCAGUAGGGAAUCUUCCGCAAUGGGCGAAAGCCUGACGGAGCAACGCCGCGUGAGUGAUGAAGGUCUUCGGAUCGUAAAACUCUGUUAUUAGGGAAGAACAUAUGUGUAAGUAACUGUGCACAUCUUGACGGUACCUAAUCAGAAAGCCACGGCUAACUACGUGCCAGCAGCCGCGGUAAUACGUAGGUGGCAAGCGUUAUCCGGAAUUAUUGGGCGUAAAGCGCGCGUAGGCGGUUUUUUAAGUCUGAUGUGAAAGCCCACGGCUCAACCGUGGAGGGUCAUUGGAAACUGGAAAACUUGAGUGCAGAAGAGGAAAGUGGAAUUCCAUGUGUAGCGGUGAAAUGCGCAGAGAUAUGGAGGAACACCAGUGGCGAAGGCGACUUUCUGGUCUGUAACUGACGCUGAUGUGCGAAAGCGUGGGGAUCAAACAGGAUUAGAUACCCUGGUAGUCCACGCCGUAAACGA
rnacentral:rRNA from 1 species